rnacentral:rRNA from 1 species
CUUGGUGUUACUGCGAAGGGGGGACGGAGAAGGCUAUGUUGGCCGGGCGACGGUUGUCCCGGUUUAAGCGUGUAGGUGUGUGUUCCAGGUAAAUCCGGUUCACUUUAACACUGAGGCGUGAUGACGAGGCACUACGGUGCUGAAGCAACAAAUGCCCUGCUUCCAGGAAAAGCCUCUAAGCAUCAGGUAACAUCAAAUCGUACCCCAAACCGACACAGGUGGUCAGGUAGAGAAUACCAAGGCGCUUGAGAGAACUCGGGUGAAGGAACUAGGCAAAAUGGUGCCGUAACUUCGGGAGAAGGCACGCUGACACGUAGGUGAAGUGAUUUACUCACGGAGCUGAAGUCAGUCGAAGAUACCAGCUGGCUGCAACUGUUUAUUAAAAACACAGCACUGUGCAAACACGAAAGUGGACGUAUACGGUGUGACGCCUGCCCGGUGCCGGAAGGUUAAUUGAUGGGGUCAGCGCAAGCGAAGCUCCUGAUCGAAGCCCCGGUAAACGGCGGCCGUAACUAUAACGGUCCUAAGGUAGCGAAAUUCCUUGUCGGGUAAGUUCCGACCUGCACGAAUGGCGUAAUGAUGGCCAGGCUGUCUCCACCCGAGACUCAGUGAAAUUGAACUCGCUGUGAAGAUGCAGUGUACCCGCGGCAAGACGGAAAGACCCCGUGAACCUUUACUAUAGCUUGACACUGAACAUUGAGCCUUGAUGUGUAGGAUAGGUGGGAGGCUUUGAAGCGUGGACGCCAGUCUGCGUGGAGCCGACCUUGAAAUACCACCCUUUAAUGUUUGAUGUUCUAACGUGGACCCGUAAUCCGGGUUGCGGACAGUGUCUGGUGGGUAGUUUGACUGGGGCGGUCUCCUCCUAAAGAGUAACGGAGGAGCACGAAGGUUGGCUAAUCCUGGUCGGACAUCAGGAGGUUAGUGCAAUGGCAUAAGCCAGCUUGACUGCGAGCGUGACGGCGCGAGCAGGUGCGAAAGCAGGUCAUAGUGAUCCGGUGGUUCUGAAUGGAAGGGCCAUCGCUCAACGGAUAAAAGGUACUCCGGGGAUAACAGGCUGAUACCGCCCAAGAGUUCAUAUCGACGGCGGUGUUUGGCACCUCGAUGUCGGCUCAUCACAUCCUGGGGCUGAAGUAGGUCCCAAGGGUAUGGCUGUUCGCCAUUUAAAGUGGUACGCGAGCUGGGUUUAGAACGUCGUGAGACAGUUCGGUCCCUAUCUGCCGUGGGCGCUGGAGAACUGAGGGGGGCUGCUCCUAGUACGAGAGGACCGGAGUGGACGCAUCACUGGUGUUCGGGUUGUCAUGCCAAUGGCACUGCCCGGUAGCUAAAUGCGGAAGAGAUAAGUGCUGAAAGCAUCUAAGCACGAAACUUGCCCCGAGAUGAGUUCUCCCUGAGACUUUAAGUCUCCUGAAGGAACGUUGAAGACGACGACGUUGAUAGGCCGGGUGUGUAAGCGCAGCGAUGCGUUGAGCUAACCGGUACUAAUGAACCGUGAGGCUUAACC